rnacentral:rRNA from 1 species
UACGUGAGGGGCGAGCGUUGUUCGGUGUCACUGGGCUUAAAGGGUGCGUAGGUGGUUGCGUAAGUAACGUGUGAAAUCCCUCGGCUUACCCGGGGAAUUGCGCGUUAUACUGCGUGACUUGAGGAUUUCAGGGGAAUGGGGAACUCCAGGUGUAGCGGUGAAAUGCGCAGAUAUCUGGGGGAAGGCCGGCGGCGAAGGCGCCAUUCUGGGAAAUUCCUGACACUGAGGCACGAAAGCGUGGGGAGCAAACAGG